GAUGAACGCUGGCGGCGUGCCUAAUACAUGCAAGUCGAGCGAACAGACGAGGAGCUUGCUCCUCUGACGUUAGCGGCGGACGGGUGAGUAACACGUGGAUAACCUACCUAUAAGACUGGGAUAACUUCGGGAAACCGGAGCUAAUACCGGAUAAUAUAUUGAACCGCAUGGUUCAAUAGUGAAAGACGGUUUUGCUGUCACUUAUAGAUGGAUCCGCGCCGCAUUAGCUAGUUGGUAAGGUAACGGCUUACCAAGGCAACGAUGCGUAGCCGACCUGAGAGGGUGAUCGGCCAAACUGGAACUGAGACACGGUCCAGACUCCUACGGGAGGCAGCAGUAGGGAAUCUUCCGAAUGGGCGAAAGCCUGACGGAGCAACGCCGCGUGAGUGAUGAAGGUCUUCGGAUCGUAAAACUCUGUUAUUAGGGAAGAACAAAUGUGUAAGUAACUAUGCACGUCUUGACGGUACCUAAUCAGAAAGCCACGGCUAACUACGUG
rnacentral:rRNA from 1 species